rnacentral:rRNA from 1 species
GAUGAACGCUGGCGGCGUGCCUAAUACAUGCAAGUCGAGCGAACAGAUAAGGAGCUUGCUCCUUUGACGUUAGCGGCGGACGGGUGAGUAACACGUGGGUAACCUACCUAUAAGACUGGGAUAACUUCGGGAAACCGGAGCUAAUACCGGAUAACAUUUGGAACCGCAUGGUUCUAAAGUGAAAGAUGGUUUUGCUAUCACUUAUAGAUGGACCCGCGCCGUAUUAGCUAGUCGGUAAGGUAACGGCUUACCAAGGCGACGAUACGUAGCCGACCUGAGAGGGUGAUCGGCCACACUGGAACUGAGACACGGUCCAGACUCCUACGGGAGGCAGCAGUAGGGAAUCUUCCGCAAUAGGCGAAAGCCUGACGGAGCAACGCCGCGUGAGUGAUGAAGGGUUUCGGCUCGUAAAACUCUGUUAUUAGGGAAGAACAAAUGUGUAAGUAACUGUGCACGUCUUGACGGUACCUAAUCAGAAAGCCACGGCUAACUACGUG